rnacentral:rRNA from 1 species
GACGAACGCUGGCGGCGUGCUUAACACAUGCAAGUCGAACGGUGAACCAGAGCUUGCUCUGGGGAUCAGUGGCGAACGGGUGAGUAACACGUGGGCAACCUGCCCCAGACUCUGGGAUAACCUCGGGAAACCGAUGCUAAUACCGGAUACGACCACUUCGGACAUCCGACGGUGGUGGAAAGUUUUUCGGUCUGGGAUGGGCCCGCGGCCUAUCAGCUAGUUGGUGGGGUAAUGGCCUACCAAGGCGACGACGGGUAGCCGGCCUGAGAGGGCGACCGGCCACACUGGAACUGAGACACGGUCCAGACUCCUACGGGAGGCAGCAGUGGGGAAUAUUGCACAAUGGGCGAAAGCCUGAUGCAGCGACGCCGCGUGAGGGACGACGGCCUUCGGGUUGUAAACCUCUUUCAGCAGGGACGAAGCGAAAGUGACUGUACCUGCAGAAGAAGCACCGGCUAACUACGUGCCAGCAGCCGCGGUAAGGAGUAGUACA